UGUGAGGCCUGAACCAGCCAUCGUAACAGCAAAGUUUGGCUUGUGCUGGACCUCCAGUCACAUGGUUUGACUAAUGACCACCUGCCACCAGCAGCAAUCACAGUAUCAUCACUUGGAUAAACAGCAUCCCGUUUGAUUGGAGAAUCUUCUCGGCCGAGUUCAGGAUCUCUUCAAUUCCCCCUUUUUUAAAAAAUGUCCUCGUGUACGCCCAUGAGAGUGUGGGUGUAUUCACGAGGACUCCCUUUUUACCCUAUCCCUCCUGGAUUCAACUUUAUUGCGCGGAUGGAGCAACUGUGGAUGGAUGCCUGGCUGUACAUUUCCCAGGCAAAAAGUUUUUUUUUAGUUUGGCGCGCCUUGGAUGUCUAGAUCGGAAGCGACGGCUCGUGUGUAGAAGACGAAAAAUGUUGGAGACGACGACGUCUAGAAAUGGGAGAGAAGGGUGGAGAGAAGGACGCGAUGACUCGUUGCUGGGCUUCUUUCUCAUUUGAAUUGCAAAUGUUUCUUAUUUUAUAUUCGACGACGUCGACCCCUUUUUCCUUCUUCCUUCUUUUCUUUUCUGCUGGCGCAUCCUUUAAGACCUUUAGAUACAUCGACGUCGAUCGUUCCCCAUCUCUUCACUCUGGUGAACUUUGCAGAGAAUACGACGACGCCUACUCACAGCAGCGUCGAUACAUCUCUCCCCCAGAAAAAAAACCUUUUUUUUAUUUCUUAUUCUGAUUGUAUUUGAGCUGCUCUCUACAAUGCAAUAUCUCUCGACGUGUUAUUUGUUUAAUACACUAACACAUUUCAGCACUUUU
rnacentral:lncRNA from 1 species